AGAUUGAACGCUGGCGGCAGGCCUAACACAUGCAAGUCGAGCGGUAGAGAGGUGCUUGCAUCUCUUGAGAGCGGCGGACGGGUGAGUAAUGCCUAGGAAUCUGCCUAGUGGUGGGGAUAACGUUCGGAAACGGACGCUAAUACCGCAUACGUCCUACGGGAGAAAGCGGGGGACCUUCGGGCCUCGCGCCAUUAGAUGAGCCUAGGUCGGAUUAGCUAGUUGGCGGGUAAGAGCCCACCAAGGCGACGAUCGGUAGCUGGUCUGAGAGGAUGAUCAGCCACACGUGGGACUGAGACACGGCCCAGACUCCGUACGGGAGCAGCAGGUAGGGAAUAUUGGAACAAGUGGGACGAAAAGCCUAGAUCCGAGCAAUCGCCGCGUGAGUGAAGUGAAGGUCCUUAGGGUUAGUAAAGCUUACGUUUUUAACCCGAGAUGAAUAAUGAACAGUA
rnacentral:rRNA from 1 species